rnacentral:rRNA from 1 species
GACGAACUGUCCUAACGUUGUUCGGAAUCACUGGGCUUAAAGGGCGCGUAGCGGUCCGCCAAGUCAGGGGUGAAAUCCUGCAGCUUAACUGUAGAAGUGCCUCUGAUACUGGCGGUCUUGAGGGAAAUAGGGGUGUGCGGAACUUCCAGUGGAGCGGUGAAAUGCGUUGAUAUUGGAAGGAACGCCGGAGGCGAAAGCGGCGCACUGGAUUUCUUCUGACGCUGAGGCGCGAAAGCUAGGGGAGCAAACGGG